rnacentral:rRNA from 1 species
CCAGACUCCUACGGGAGGCAGCAGUAGGGAAUCUUCGGCAAUGGACGGAAGUCUGACCGAGCAACGCCGCGUGAGUGAAGAAGGUUUUCGGAUCGUAAAGCUCUGUUGUAAGAGAAGAAUGAGUGUGAGAGUGGAAAGUUCACACUGUGACGGUAUCUUACCAGAAAGGGACGGCUAACUACGUGCCAGCAGCCGCGGUAAUACGUAGGUCCCGAGCGUUGUCCGGAUUUAUUGGGCGUAAAGCGAGCGCAGGCGGUUAGAUAAGUCUGAAGUUAAAGGCUGUGGCUUAACCAUAGUACGCUUUGGAAACUGUUUAACUUGAGUGCAAGAGGGGAGAGUGGAAUUCCAUGUGUAGCGGUGAAAUGCGUAGAUAUAUGGAGGAACACCGGUGGCGAAAGCGGCUCUCUGGCUUGUAACUGACGCUGAGGCUCGAAAGCGUGGGGAGCAAACAGGAUUAGAUACCCUGGUAGUCCACGCCGUAGACGAUGAGUGCUAGGUGUUAGACCCUUUCCGGGGUUUAGUGCCGCAGCUAACGCAUUAAGCACUCCGCCUGGGGAGUACGACCGCAAGGUUGAAACUCAAAGGAAUUGACGGGGGCCCGCACAAGAA